ACGGGACCGCACAAGCGGUGGAUGAUGUGGUUUAAUUCGAUGCAACGCGAAAACCUUACCUACCCUUGACAUGUCAAGAAUUCUGCAGAGAUGUGGAAGUGCUCGAAAGAGAACUUGAACACAGGUGCUGCAUGGCCGUCGUCAGCUCGUGUCGUGAGAUGUUGGGUUAAGUCCCGCAACGAGCGCAACCCUUGUCAUUAGUUGCUACGCAAGAGCACUCUAAUGAGACUGCCGGUGACAAACCGGAGGAAGGUGGGGAUGACGUCAGGUCCUCAUGGCCCUUAUGCCCAGGGCUACACACGUGCUACAAUGGGCGGUACAAAGGGUAGCGAUGCCGCGAGGUGAAGCCAAUCCCAAAAAGCCGUCCACAGUUCGGAUUGGAGUCUGCAACUCGACUCCAUGAAGCCGGAAUCGCUAGUAAUCGUGGAUCAGCAUGCCACGGUGAAUACGUUCCCGGGCCUU
rnacentral:rRNA from 1 species